rnacentral:rRNA from 1 species
GCUUGUCUCAAAGAUUAAGCCAUGCAUGUCUUAGUGUAAAUAACUCUUAUGAAACUGCGAAUGGCUCAUUAAAUCAGUUAUCAAAUACGUGAUGGUCGCCUACUACAUGGAUAACCGUAGUAAUUCUAGAGCUAAUACAUGCACAAAGGCCCACUCACGUGGGUUGUGAUUAUUAGAUUCAAACCAAUGCCCUUCGGGGCUCUUUGGUGAUUCAUGAUAACUUAACGGAUCGCAUGGCCUUGCGCCGGCGACGGUUCAUUCAAAUUUCUGCCCUAUCAACUUUCGAUGGUAAGGUAUUGGCUUACCAUGGUUUCAACGGGUAACGGGGAAUUAGGGUUCGAUUCCGGAGAGGGAGCCUGAGAAACGGCUACCACAUCCAAGGAAGGCAGCAGG